CAGACCCGCAUGGAUUUCAUUCUCGUUUGAAGCGCUCAAAGGAAGGUUGCAACGAUGAAGUGGCUCGUUUUAACUUUCUUGUUGUUUUCUUCCAUGAUGGUGGUGACGGAAACGCGACCGCAACGCAGAUUCCCGCCUCAAUUUCCUCCACACGGGCCUAUCAUCCCUCCGUACCCGUGCAACUGUACUUUCCCGCCGUGCCCGUGUGAUCCUCCGAGACCCAUCGACUUCUCAGGAUAAAGCGGCGCGCGUGAGACGUUUUGGGGCCUGCGAGUCUUCGGGAAAGUCUCCUUGCCGUCCUGGCCCUACGGUUUUCGUCGAUGCGUUUCUUCAAGAGUCUGCAGCGUCUACGUAAGAUGUUACGACUUAUCUGGUUUUCCUUUUUGACUGUACACGUUCUCUAUUCGUUCUGUACAAGGCAUUGGGAUAUCCUUGUUGCUAGUUAUCAAGUUAUCAAGUAUUUUCUUCGUGUACACGAACGCUAGCAUGGCUUCCCUAGUGCCUGAGCUAAGCAUUUAGUGUUUAAUGCUUAUCUAUAUUAGUUUGUUUGUUUGUUUGUUUUAUCUUCUAAAUCAUCAUUUGUUUUAUAUAUAUUUACACUAGUUAUCAUAGCUUCCAUAUCGUGUGUUUUGUGCUCGUCUGUAAUAGUCAUCGCUUUUUCUUUAAUAAUUGAGUGCGUCAAAGUAGAUGCAUGUCUUAAGGUGUUCAUUUUAGUCGGCAAGCGGUUGUAAUUUUCAAAAUAAAUUAUCAAAACUUG
rnacentral:lncRNA from 1 species